UACGUAGGUGGCAAGCGUUGUCCGGAUUUAUUGGGUUUAAAGGGUGCGUAGGCGGCCGUAUAAGUCAGUGCUGAAAUAUCCCGGCUUAACCGGGAGGGUGGCAUUGAUACUGUAUGGCUUGAGUAAAGUUGAGGUUGGCGGAAUUGACGGUGUAGCGGUGAAAUGCUUAGAUAUCGUCAAGAACACCUAUUGCGAAGGCAGCUAACUAAGCUUUAACUGACGCUGAGGCACGAAAGUGUGGGGAUCAAACAGG
rnacentral:rRNA from 1 species